rnacentral:rRNA from 1 species
UACGUAGGGUGCAAGCGUUGUCCGGAAUUAUUGGGCGUAAAGAGCUCGUAGGCGGUUUGUCGCGUCUGCUGUGAAAACCCGAGGCUCAACCUCGGGCCUGCAGUGGGUACGGGCAGACUAGAGUGCGGUAGGGGAGAUUGGAAUUCCUGGUGUAGCGGUGGAAUGCGCAGAUAUCAGGAGGAACACCAAUGGCGAAGGCAGAUCGCUGGGCCGUAACUGACGCUGAGGAGCGAAAGCAUGGGGAGCGAACAGG